rfam:Schistosoma margrebowiei strain Zambia genome assembly, scaffold: SMRZ_scaffold0003866
AUUCAGCUGACAAGUCCUAAAUAGGACGAAACGCACAUCCUGGAU